UACGAAGGGGGCUAGCGUUGCUCGGAAUCACUGGGCGUAAAGGGUGCGUAGGCGGGGCUUUAAGUCAGGGGUGAAAUCCUGGAGCUCAACUCCAGAACUGCCUUUGAUACUGAAGAUCUUGAGUUCGGUAGAGGUGAGUGGAACUGCGAGUGUAGAGGUGAAAUUCGUAGAUAUUCGCAAGAACACCAGUGGCGAAGGCGGCUCACUGGCCCGAUACUGACGCUGAGGCACGAAAGCGUGGGGAGCAAACAGG
rnacentral:rRNA from 1 species